rnacentral:rRNA from 1 species
CAUUAACGUAUCUCCGGCGGGGCGCGUGGGCCAGGCUCCGGUCCAAAAGGCCGUGCAGCGGGCGCUCGCCCCCGUCCAAACCUUUCAAACCCCUGUGCACUUUAACGGUGGAGGCGCUCCGGCGAGAGUCGGGCGUCGCAAGCCGUGCCUUUACAAACCCCAAAACGAUAGAAUGAACGCGGCACAACGUCGCCUAACAAACGAAACAACUUUCAACAACGGAUCUCUUGGCUCUCGCAUCGAUGAAGAACGCAGCGAAAUGCGAUAAGUAAUGUGAAUUGCAGAAUUCAGUGAAUCAUCGAAUCUUUGAACGCACCUUGCGCUCCUUGGUAUUCCGAGGAGCAUGCCUGUUUGAGUGUCUUGAAGUCAUCAACCCCGAGCGUUUCUUGCGAGCGCGCGGCGGUUGGAUCUGGGGGCUCUGCCGCUCGACGAGAGCCGGCUCCCCUCAAAUGCUUCGGUUGGGCCUGUGGGUCGAACUCGACUGGGCGUUGUACCAUCCUCGCUCGAACGAGACGGACCCCUUCCGCGCCUUGCCUCGACCUGCCUCCCAGUGGGGCGGUCAAUCAAGCUUUUUGAAAUCUGACCUCAAAUCAGGUAGGACUACCCGCUGAACUUAAGCAUAUC